rnacentral:lncRNA from 1 species
UUAUAAUUAUGGGUACAUGUGUUAGUAUGCUUUUGAGCAUUUGGUGGUAUGUGACUAUAAUUAAAUACAUUAAUAUAUCUUCAAAUCGCCCACGGAAGGUCUUAUAUAUUUGAUGAUAAUUUGAUGUAUAUGAAUAUAGCGUCAAUAUGGGUGGUUAUAGAGUUCGGAAUAAGGAACCAAUGUCAUGGUCGGACGAGAAUGAACACGCUUUUAUUGAAAUUCUUUACGAGAAAGUGAAAUCAAAUGCAUUGCAAUGUUCUACAUUCACAAGAGACGAAUGGGGCAGGAUCAAUGAAAUCAUGAUAGCUUCAACAAAAAUGGAUUACGGCAUAGAUAGCUUAAAAGGAAAGUGGAACCGCUUGCGUAAGAUUCAUCGCAUGUUCUCUGAACUUUUGGGACAUACGAGUGUUACAUGGGAUCCAAAUACCAACAAAGUUAAUGCUGCAGAGGAAGUUUGGCAACACUCUUAUACGGUACAUAUAUUUAUGAAAGAAUAUGUUCGUCCUUAUUUUUUAUCUUAUCAAUUUUAUAUUAUUUUCUUCAACACGCUAACAAUGUUGUUUCUUUUUUCAAUGUUAGAUUAACAAGUCGGAUUACAAGUUGCUCAAGAGGGAAGGAUGUAAGCACUACCACACUCUUGGGGAGAUAUUCAGCGGGACUACAGCUACUGGAGGAUUAGGCAGUGCCUCCACCUAGCAUCCAAACACAUCAGAGGAAGAAAGGCAGCUAAAAGAUGAUUUUUUUGAAUAGAGGAGUACAUGUGACUGCAGAAAAUGAUGAUGAAGUCGAUGUGGUUUCAAAUACUCGCCCACGUAACGAAAUUGGUACAUCAGGUAAACGACGACGUAAGGAACCUAAGGUCUGUAAAAGUGAUAAACUCGAGGCUUAUAUCGCACAAUGGUCAUUUACAGUUAAUUUGAGGAAUGAAGAAACUGAACUUAGAACACUUUACCUAAAAGAGAAGCUUGCAAAGAUCAAAGGAAAAGGUAGUUGUCAAUUAGAUAAUGAAGUUACUAGUCCAGAUCUUUAUUCAGAUGUUACUUGCUUGGACAUUUUAAACAAUAUCGAAAGGGUGUCUAAUGAGGUUUACAUGAAAGCAAUAAAGGCUUUCAACGAUCCCGAUUUCAGGGUGUCAUUUGUGAAGAUACUAGAAGCAAGGAGAUGACCUAUCUUGGAACUACUUUGAUGUGACUAUUGUUUUAAUAUGUGAUUGUUGUUAUGUUGAAGUACCAUGUUAAACUCGAGGCUUGAAGUACUUUCCUUCCCCAUUUUGUGGUGAUGUUGUACUAUUUUCAUUUACAAACAUUGUGAUAUUGUUGGUUGGAGAACUGAUGUUGAUUUGUCUUCACUUUUUUAAUGCUUGAUUGCUUGUUUUAUUGAAUUAAUGGUGGUUGAUAUGACUUAUGA